UUCCAAAGCAAUUUGCUUGACUGCCAGUUUGAUUCAAUCUUCAACCUUCAAUCUUGAUCUUGAUUAGGACACCAUUUUAGACUUGAAUCUCUUGACUCCUGCAAA